AAAAAAUUCUCUUUCUUAUUCCUUGUAUGAAUAUAUUUAUAUUAUAUCUUUAUACCCUCUUUCAUUCUUUCUGGUAAACACAUUUGCAGGAUAACCUUUUUUUGCAAUCACUUUUGCGUUUUGCGGAACAAAGUUCUUUUGUAGGGAAAUCAAUUCUCUUUUGAAGCUUGCUUUUGACUUUUUGUCUUGCAACUACAUGUUCCAACAACAUAUACGUCCAUCAAACAAAGCAAUGACUGUGUUCAACAGAGGAGCUUCAAACAACUGUGUUGUCUAAGAUCAAAGAAGGGCGAUGUUCCCUAUUUCUUUAGGGAUUUAGUCUAUCAAUUCGUCCUCUAUGAAAUUCCAAUGUAAGUCUCCACUUUAAACAAAUGAUUUUCUCUUUCUUUUACCCAUAUUAUGCAUUUGUUUUGCCUGCUCCUGCUUCACAACUUAAAGUUGUGAUUUUGUAGCUUUUAUAGUUGGUAUUAGAAAGUGUACUUUAAAAGCAUGACAUGUAUAGCAUGAGAAUAAAGCUAUCUUUACUGAACCCUCUGCUAUCUUUUUACAAAAAUCAUUUUCGGUAUGACUACAUUUGAAGGAAUCUUAUUAGCUGGUUGUACAUUUCACAUGCCAGUCGACAUGCUUUGUAGUUUUGUGACCUCACAGUGGUAUUGGCUUCAAAGAGCUAAGCUUUCUCUUCUUUUGGGUUUUACAAAAUCUAUUGGAGAUAAAUAUUUUUCCUCAAUAUUGAUUCCUGAAUAUUGUUUACUUGGAGAGAUCUCCUUUUAUGUUACAACGCUUCUGAAUGAACAUGGCAUGCUAAGUGAGAGUAUGCAAACUAAGAUACUGCAAGUUUUCCAAGACCGUUUAUGGUCAACUAUAUUUUGAUUGUCAUGAUGAUUAUUUGGUUUUUCAAGAUGUUGAUCUAGACUUAUUAACCAGUUUUAAUUGUUUGCUCCAUUUUGGAAUGGA